rnacentral:lncRNA from 1 species
CCUACACCACAGCUCACGGCAACACUGGAUCCCUGACCCACUGAGCGAGGCCAAGGAUCGAACCCGCGUCCUCAUGGAUACUGGUCGGAUUCGUUUCCACUGUGCCAUGACAGGAACUCCUCCCUGUUGGACCCUUGAGGUAAUCUUCUCCACGCCACCCUCCCAUCAUAAUGAAUGUCUCCUUCCUCCCCAGGCUGGCACUGUUUAAAACUCAUCAUGGUGUUGCCCGCCAUGGCCUUGUAUCUGACUGAGUUCCGUGUCUUCUGACCACCCCUUGCAUUGUGAGUUUCUAGAAGGCUUGGUCUCAGUCUUAUUCAACUUAAAAUCCUCAACUCCCAGCCCUCAGGGCCUACACACUGUCAAGAAGAGCAGAUCUCAAUAAACGUUCAUGAAUGAACUAAUCGAACAAAUGGAUACAUGCAGGCAGGCAUGGACAUAGACCCAUGGGGCUUUCGGAAUCUGAGCGAGCAGGGACUAUUCUGUGGUUUAACAUUCAGGGCAGAUUUCUUUGUACCCAUGGGGUUUUCCUCAGCCUUUGAAAAAAAUCUAAGAGAUACAGAUAAGCUUUGAGGAUCCUUUAGUGGCAUGCAGCUCUUUGAGGGUAUGACUGGGUUCUAUUUCAGGUUAUAUCAAUUUAUAUCUUCCGCAGAGCCCUAGAACCAAGCGUUUCUCUCUAUCCUAAGAGCAUCAGUAAAUAUUUAUUUGGAGUUUUCUGGUGGCCCAGUGAGUUAAGGAUCCCGCAUUGCCACUGUUGUGGCUCUGGUUACAGCUGUGGGGCGGAUUCAAUCCCUAGCCCAGAAACCCGCAUGCUGGGUGUUUGUUGAUGAAUUGAUUGAUUACAUUGCAUUGAAUUGAAAUGGAUUGAUAUGAGUUCACUCCUUACUCCCAGAGUGGCCUUGUAUUCCCAAUCCCAAAUGGCUCUUAGUUAACCAGUCCAGGGCCGAGAGGAAGCAUCUGAUCUGCUGCUAAGGACAUCAGUGGGUAGAGGACUGCCAGCUUAAUCCUGGACUUGCACAUAAGAAAUGCAUUGGGCACAAGGACUGACAGGUUAGUUCUGCCAUGACCCAGUCUUUCCCUGCUGCUGGAUACAGGCCAUGUGAUUGCAUUCUCGCCAAUGAAUGGAUUGUGAGCAGAAGACCAUUGUGCCCAGGGCCAGCCCGUAAACACUCCCAGGUGGAUUUAUCCAUGCCCUUCCCCUUGGUGACCUGACACCAUGAGCAUAGAGAUACCUUGAAAGCUGAGUGAUGGGGACGUCAGCAGAACUAACAUGGCAGGAGCCUGGAUCCCUGCAUCACAACCUGGAGGGCCACUACCUGUCUACUGAGAGCUUCCAUUGUGGACUUUAUAGAAACAAGAAAUAAACAUUUGAUAUCCUGAGGAGGCUUGGUAAAUAAACUGCAAGACACUCAGUUAAAUCUGAAUUUCAGGAACAAAGAAUAAUUUUUAGUAUAUCUCAAAUAUUGCACAGAACAUAAUUACAUGAAAAAUUAUUUGAAAUUCAAAUUUAAAUUGAUGUCUUUGUUUUCACUAAAUCUGACAACCCUAGUUUUUAGCUCUUAUACGUUUUAGAGCUUGUUUAUUGUAGUAGCUAGCCUUACCUUAAUUAAUACACCCAGUUUCAUUUGUCAGAGCAGCAGGGCCACAGUACCUGAGCUGGCAUUCUGGCCUGGGACAAGGGGCUGACCCCAGGUCCUCUUGACAAUUAGAUUUGAGUAGUGCAGGUCCAUCUGGAAAAUUGAGUGUCCUAUGUGGACAGGGCCAAGGGGAAAACUAGGAAAGAUCCCAGCAUCUUCUAGGGGAUCCUGUGAAUAUGCUAUUCUUUCACUGUCUCUUUCACUAGACUAAGUUCUUUGGCGACAAAGAAGAUUGUGGGGUUUUGUUGGGGGAGGUUGGGGAUUUUUUUAUGGCUGCACCAGUGGUGUAUGAAAGUUGCUGGGCCAGGGAUUGACUGUGAGCCACGGCUGCAGCAAUGCCGGAUCCUUUAACCCACUGCACCAGGCAGGGGAUCAAACCCACAGGGCCUCAGCCACCCCAGCUGUUGCAGUUGGAUUCUUAACCCACUGUGCCACAGCAGGAGCUCCAGAAGAUUGUGGGGUUUACCUCCGUGUCUGCAGUACUUGGCCCGGGGUAAAGCUGCUUUCUUGUUUGUGGUGGGAGAGCAGCAUGCCUGCUGGGGAAAGGUGGAUGAGACGACUUCGUAAUGUGGACCUGUCCAAGCUUUUGAGAGAUAAAAGUAUGAAUUUGGGAACGCUGGGCCAUUCCCUAUGUUUUCCUCUGUCCCAUGAGUAGCCAGUGUAGCAAAAAGGCCAAGAACUGGGCUCGGAUUUGCUCACGUGGGUCUGUGUUCAGGACCUCCUAGGUCCUGGGUGAUCGGGCAUCUGUUACGUAAACUCUGAGUUGCACUGUCCUCACCUGUUAACUGGGGACAAUGAAGGUACCCGUCUCACUAGAGUUGCCAGGAAGAUGCACGAGGGGUGCCUGGCCACCAAAAAAUAUCUGAAAAUAUUAACUGUCAUUAGAGAUAUCUCAGAUACUCUUUCUUUUCAUGUUUUCCCUACAAAAUGCCUUAGUAGGAGUUCCUGGGUGGCUCAGUGGCCUUGUCACUGCAGUGGCUCGGGUCCACUGCUGUGGUACUGGUUUGAUC